UCAGCAUCACCUAGCUCUGCUGUCAAGGUGGGCUACUUCAGCUUGAUUUCUUUUUCCUUUGUUAUUGGGUUUUAGAAAUGACUGUUAUAGAGCAGCCAAGCAACUUUUGUUGUCUUCAUACUCCAGUGAAGUUGAGACUCCCAUAUAGACCACUGAGAGCCAUAGGGUCUCAGCAACAUGCCUGAGAAGUUGAACCUCCUGCCUCACCCUGAAAUCCACAGUAUGACAACUGAGUUGCUGUGUUGCACAUGGAACUUGCAGCCUUAGCACAAGACUGGUGGAAGACCAUUAAGCAACUGCAGUAAAUAAUGUCAGGCUGUCGUUGAAUACUAAGGGUCUGAUCUUGCAGGGAACUAGGAAGACAUUUCAGCUCUGUGGAAACUUGCACCACGUCAGGAUAAGUCUUCGGGAGAGAACAGCUAAGGACUUCCUGAUGCAGAGGCACAGGGCUGAUCAGACCACUUCCAAAAGAGAAUCUGUGAAUGGAUAAUGCCUAAGACAGACAGACUGAAUCUGAUCCACUGCAGCGAUACCUGUCUUCUUCAGGGGGAAGCAAAGGAAAGAAGUUGAAAGCUAACAAGGAGAAUAUGGUAAAUUAAAAUUCUGUCCCCAAGGUAAGCAGAACAAAAAAAACCUACAAAUGAGAAAGGUGUUGAGGGGUCACAGAAAUGCAGAGAUAUCUUCAAGUGAUACUGCUCAGUCCCCUGUGUUUUGCUCAAGAAUGGGCUUUGAUUGCAGCCCUGCUCUCUCCAGCUGGCAGAAACGUGCCAAUGGAUGCAUAUGUACCUGUGCGCAACAAUUGCCGCACUAGACAUUGCACCAGGGCUUGAAACGAAGACUGGAAACUCAGGACUGCCCUAAGACCAAAUGUGGCAACUAUUAGAAACAGACAUUUCUGUGGCAGUGGCAGAGAGAAGACUGUGGCAACUCCUGCAGACCGUGGACUUGCACAGCGCAAGCUUAUUUCAUAGAAUAACAGAAUGGUGUGAGUUGGAAGGGACUUUAAAGACCAUCUAGUUCCACCCUGCCCUGCCAUGGGCAGGGACACCUUCCACUAAACAAGGUUGCCCAAAGCCCCAUCCAGCCUGGCCUUGAACGUUUCCAGGGAUGGGUCAUCCACAGCUUCUCUGGGCAACCUAUUCCAGUGCCUCACCACCCUCAAAGUAAAGGAUUUCUUUGAAACAUCUACUCUUCCUAAUAUCUAAUCUAAAUCUACCCUAGUCCCAGUAGGCUAUACAGUUUGGAAGACAUAAUUCUUCACUUUGUGAAGAAGAAUGGUAGAGGGAUCAGAAACAAGACGGAGCCAAUAACUUAGCUGACACUGCAAUCAGCUUACAUUUAUCUCUCUCUGUACCCUGCUCUAGCUUUUUUCUGAACUGGUUCAGAGCACUUGCAAUCAGAAUCUCAAAAUACCUCUCUCUGCCCAUGCCAAGGUGUAUUUAGCAAUUACAUUGCACAGGGUUAGUAUAUUUUCUAAUGAGAAGAGGUGCUAUGAAAGCUUUUAUGUUGUUUUCUUUUUUAUUUGGUUAAUAUACCCAGAGUGUGUGAAUGUGCGUCUGUGUAAUGUUUUGUUAAUGUGACAUUUAUUCUCCUUUCCUUCCAGCCCCUCCUCAAGCAUGUCUGCAAAUCAAUCUGGUUUUGUGUUUAAUGCAAGUUAUCAAUCAUCUUUUCAUGAGCAAAUGGUUUCAUAUUAAGGGGAAGGAAACAUUCUAAUGUAUUCAUUCUAUUAUUGUUCCUUGGAAAAGAUCCAGAUUUGCAAUAAACCAGUGAUUGGAAAUGCACAAAGUAUUUUAAUAUCCCAAUUAUUUUGAUUUAACUUCCUCUAAUAGUUUAAAUUGAUACUGAAUUUAUUUAGAAGCCAUUACAGAGGAAUUCCCCCCACCCUCCCGCCAAGUAGUUCAGAAACACAUAAUGAACUUAAGCUGAAGACAAAAUACAUUGUUCAUAUUCUAAGCUGCCAACGGUAUGAGAAGGGGAAGCUUUUGUAUGAGAAAGCCAGGUGGAGGGAAACGGAAAAAAAAACAAACCCAAAAAAAAGCAAAAACCAAAAAAACCCCAACAAAGCUGCUAUAUAUAAUUCAAUUAUUAUUUAAAAAUUCGUCUGAUUAAAAAAAAAUGUUACAGUGGCAAUUUUUCUGUCUUCAGGAGAUGAUAAUCAGACACCCACUGACUUCCUACAUUACUGGAACUAACACAGAUUUGACUACAUGAAAAGACCUACUCAAAAAUUUCAUCUCUCCCUGCCUACGUUUCUUUUUUUCCAUGUUAUCUGCAUUUUUACCCUACUGUUACAAUCAUGCUUUGCACUUUUCACAUAAAUUCAUCUGAGGUCUUCACAGGAAUGCUUUGCUCAUGUCCAGGAUUUCUCAGCAUCCUUUCACUUCCUGGAUGGACUGAGAAGAUUUUAAGGUGAUAAUGCUCAGUCCUCCAACAGAUAACCUCAGAAACCUGAGAAGCCAUCCCUAGAAGGCUCAUUGCUGCAAUAAAGGUCCAUGGGACACUUCCUGCCUAUCUGCCAAGAGCUUUGUAAGGACAUGUACAGGCAUGAAAAUGUUAUGGCCAGGAUCUUCCCGAACUGAAGCUGGCAAUAUAAAGAGAAAGUGUGUCAGUCCUAAGGUACUAAGUCUUUUCUGGAUCUUUCUUGGUUCUAGAGAUAUCAGUAACAUCUACAGAUGGGAUCAGCGUGGCCUGUCAAGCUCCUGGUGCUACUGACACAGUAAGAAGGCAUCCUUGGCUUGACAAGCUGAUGGCUCCAGGCCUGGAUCCCCAGAGGGACUUUGGACUACAGCAGGAAAAGCUGCCAUUUCUACAUUUAGGAGUCUUAUUCCUUAGUGGACUGACCUGUUCAAUCAAUUCCUUAAAUUAAUCUUCCUUAAAAAAGAAACGUAGGCAGGGAGAGAUGAAAUUUUUGAGUAGGUCUUUCCAUGUAGUCAAUCUCCCUCCAACAAGAAGCAAAGCUACUACAGUUUUAUAUCCUUUUGACCCUAGCAGAAUCCAUGGCAUUACAUUAGCAUAAAGUCAAAGGAGAGGAAAACUGAAAAAAAGUGAGUAGGAUCUUUAUUGUAAGUUAAGAAUUUAUGCCAUAUGAUCAUUUUGAAAAUAACUGUAGCUUGACAAUAGCUAUUGCCUGCAAACAAGCAUUCUGGAUACCACACAAAUACUUAGGAAGCAAAUUCAUGAUGACACAGAGGUUUCUCAAAAAAAUUGGCAAAACAUUGCUUAUUAAUUUUGAAGUGCUAAAUAGGCAGCAUUUUUUAACGCACAUUAAUUCAUGACAUAAAUUUUGACAUAUUCAGAAUUUUUAAAAAAGUUUAAAUAGCAUUAGCAUUUGUUUGAGAAAUGUACUCUAUUUAAGAAUGACCAUAGUUUACUGCUUUCUUUAGUUGCAAGUUAAGAGAUGAGUAUUUCAUGUCAUGCUAUGUCAUUUUAUGAAAGCAUGUGAAUGAAGUCCUUGAAAUUAUUUACCUGUAUCAUCUCACCACCUAGCUUUAGGGCAAAAAGUCAUACUGUUUAUAUUAGCUUACCUUGACAGUGAAUGGUGUGAGUGGAAGAAAUAGCGAUUUCUGAAAAACAGUCAAGAAUGUUCUUUAUGCUGAAAGGACAGCCACUUAAGAGUUAGCCAAUAAUAAUCAUGAGGCGCUACUUAAGACUUCCAGAAAAAAAUCUACUGUUGUUGUAUCCUUUCUUUUGAAUUACCUCUGAUUUUAAAGUGAUUGUUGUGGAGACGGGGAAUUACGGCUCUGGUCUAGGAAGAUUCAAAAUCUUGAUUCUGAAUUGUGACUGAAUACUCUGGAAGUGGGGUAAGCACUACCAUCUUCUUUUUGUAACAGUGCACGCUGCACCCUGAAAUACAAAACUUGUUGUGGGGGCCACUGAGAGGAAAUGUGACUAUUAAGGCCAGUACUUAACACAGACAGUUAGGACAGGGGGAAAUCAGAUAUUUUCAUCCCUAUCUAACAAAAUCAGAAAGGAGGGGAACUACAGGGCAGAUCUUCCACAUCUUUCAUGCAUGCACUAGUAGGCAAAGAGUAGACUGUACUCAGAAAACUUGGGUUUAUGUUUUACAAGCACCUGCAAGACUUUCUCAGGCAGCUCUUCCUGGAUGGGCACCUUUCUCAAGGAUUUUGGUUGCAUUUAGGCAGCACUAAGCCACUCGGCUUCGGUCCAGACCAUGCUGGCAAGAUCUAUGGGCUAAAUGAAUGUGCUCCUGUACGUAUGCAGUGCUCAAACAUAUGCCAUACAAAGGAUAAAGGACUUUUUUUUUUCUUUUUUUUUUCCCCCAUGUUGUCCAGGAGAGCAGCCUGUGAUCUCUGAUGUGCUUGGGCAAUACUCAGCAAUCGCCUUCCUGGACUGCAGACUGGGGUUAAACAAGACCUAAAGCCAUUUCAGAUGGAAUAUCUGCAUCCUGGAUUUUGUCAUGACUAUUCCUUUGUCUCUGAUGCACUGAAGGAAGAAAAGCAUAAUUUGUUGAUGCUGUGAAAGACAGUGGUGGUUAACUAGGCUAAUCACAAUGCAAAGGAAUUUAGUCUGGUGGUGAUAACUUCAGGUUUUUUGUAUAUUUAUCUAGCUAUCUACCUGUCAGCUAAGCAAGUCUAUGAUUAUCUGUAUUUGAACUACUGAGCAAUGAUCUAAGUUUUCUAUAGAUGCAAUCUUCUUUUCCCAAGUCAUGGAACAUUUAUUGAAUCCCUCAAGAUGUUUUAACUCAGUUUCUUAAUGCAAAUUUUUCCUUCUUGAAACAAUCGGGGUGUUGGAGUGUGUCUUUGUCCCUCUGUUCAGUCCUUUAUAAAAUGUAACUAAUAAUUGCACUAUUUUCCUUUGACUGUUGUAGCAAUGCCUUAUCUACUCGGCAUUCUCUUUGAAGAGAAUACCCUCAGAAUAAGAUCAUUUCAGCUUUUCUUUUUUUAAUUCUAUUGCCUAGCCAAAACAGUUGCUCGUUUUUACAGGUGUCACAUUUUCAUUGAUACAAAAGAUGGAAGCCACUGGGAAGUGUCUAGUCCCUACGAGAUGUGGUCCUGAAGAAAGAGAUGCCUUUAACAUGCUACUACUGUGCAUCUGAAGCAGUUUCCUUCCUUGAAGAAGCAAGGUUUAAGCUACUCACUGGAGCAUCAUUUUGAGCAUCCUGUCUUCAAAGCAAAUGAAGAAAAUAAUGUUGAAAGCAAAAUAAAUGAAUAGUGCAUGAACUGCUGCCACCUCUUGGUUAUAUUCAUCACUCCAAGUAUUCGGGGCGUAUUCAUCUAAAUCAAGAAUAUUAGGGCAUUUCAGUUAUUUUUCCCUUUCACCUCACAUCCAGCCUUGAAAACACAAAGCAAGACAGUAUAUUUUUUUUUUUCUCCAGAUGCUAUUGCUGAAAUUGUCAGUUGCAACUAUUAAGGUAAUUUUUAAAGGUCUUCUACCAGUAUUUUUGUGUGCUUAAGCUAAGUCCUUUCUCUUUCUUUUCUGGGGUUUAGGUUUUAUUUAAUUUUAAUCUCCACCUUUGUUAAGCUUCGAGGCAUUCAGUUGGUUAUUUUUGUACUACAACAAAGAGAGUUAACUUUAUUUCAUUGGCAUUCUGAUAGUGAAAGGCAUGAGGACAAAUGAAGGGAAGGGUGGUGGUAGUGGGGAAUUACAUAUGCCUAAGUGAAACAAAAUGAAUUUCCAAUAUAUUUUUUUCCAUGUUUAAAGAAUAACACACUAAUUUUAUUCCUUAUCCAGAUGUGUGUUCUGAUUAGAAGCUCAUUGAAGGUAAUGGCAUAGCUCCAGUGCACUUCAAGAGCUUUUGGACAAUUUCUAGUGAAAAAUAUCAGAUUUCUAUUGAAGUUGUCAGUGGAAUGACAUUGGUUUCUCCCACCCAAUACCGUUCACCACAAUUGUUGCAUGUUUAAUCAGUUCCUGCUGAUUGCAGUAGGACAUCAAUUGACCUUUUCUAGGUCAAUUGCAAUGUGUGGACAGCUAAAAUAUCCUGUCUGAGCAGUCAUUAGAUGCCCUCUAAAUGAUGAUAUACAUGAUGAAUGGGAACAAAAUUCUGGCAACCUCCCAAUGACAGCCACCGGGGUAGGACUUUCACCUGUUCCUCACUUUUUCCCAGCCUUUGGUCCCAUUCCUGUUGAUGUUGUACUUGCUUAUUAACGUGCUUGCUUGUAGCUGUACCUUACCAGGCUCUAUGGCUGCACCACAGCCUAUCACUUCAGACAGCAACAGAGAAGGAUCAGCAAUUUGUACUGAAAAUACAAAUGCAGAAGGUCUAAAAGCAACCUAAUUGAAGCACCCCUGAGUUAAACCAAAGGCUACAUUAACACCCAGGCUAUAAUUAGCAGAUCCUCUCACUUUGCUAAGUGAGAAGGCUUAUCCAUGUGUCUGUCAGCGUAGAAGCAAUAGAAACCACCAUCAAUGUGACAAGCUGUUGUUUGUCAUGUCCUACUGAAAAGCCCUUGCUGAACUGAGACUUUACAAAAAAAGUUUUUUUAUUUGGAAGACCAGAAAUUGUUUGGUCUUUACCCUGCUGGCACGAUACAUCCAGUCAUGGCUGAAGAUCUCUCUCUUAUGGGAUGUUCAUGAUUCUGCAGUUCAGGGCCCAAUGACUCUUUUAUCUUUGUUGUCAUAACUAAAUAGUAUAAUUAUACACAAACACAGCUAAAACCCGCAGCAUUAAGUUUGAAAGGACUACAAAGGAACAGUGUCUUCCUGUGUAGCAGCUCUUGCUUCACUGGCUUUUAUGCAUGAGCUCGUUACAUGACAACUUGCCGCAGCCUGAUUUCCUUACUCACUGAAGUGAUUAAAGCAAUACCACCCCAGAGACCUCUUGUUUGCCUGCACAUAUCACUGCAACCCACUCAGCUUCCUCCAAAGCAAGGGCAGAGGCCCGGUGUGCUGGAAAAUUGGCAGGGUGAGGUCUGUUCUCAUUUCAUAAUGGGGCCAUUCUGUUUCCUCUCUCUCCAGCGUUCUGAAAUCUCUUCCUGAUGACUUGAUUAAAGGAUAUUUUUUUUAAAAAAAAAGAAAGCAGCUUAUCUAGAAGAGUGCAAUAUAUACCAUGAAAAGUGCUAUAAAGCAGUGCUUCACCUUCAGAGCAGUUCAGAGACAGACUAAAUGGAAAAAAGUAUUACACCAUUACCGUUUGUGUUCAACCUCAGACAAAUCCUGGUGGCUUCCAGACCUUCUCCAGGGAUUCAUCUUUCCUGUAUAUUCGCAGUGGUAGAGAAAAGGAACAGGCUGUGAAAGGGGAUACCUUCAAGAGCUCCUGCCUCAUGCCCUGAUUGCCCUGGUGAGUAAGUCUGAAUCAGGAUGAGCCUGGAUUGCCUAUGAAGUCCACUUGCCAUAGGAAUAUCUCUACAGAAAAAAAGAGCAUCUUCCUCAAAAUAACCCUGAACCAUCCUUUCUGGAUCAUGUCUUGUGGUAUAACCACAACAGGAGAGGCAAGAGUUGGGGAAAACAGAGCAUCCCCACAAGAGAAAAACACCACUGUGGGAACCUAUUCAUAUUCACCUUUCCUCACCUGCCCGUGCCAGCACAUUGGAGCAGACCCAACGCCAGCGCGUCCCACAGCAGAGUGCUGCAUCUGCAGGGCUGCGUGGGCUUGUCCACACAGGCUUCCCAACCCUGGGGCCUGCAGCACUGAGUUCCAGAAGGUUCCUCCUCUGUUCGUUAUUCUGGAAAAGAUCUCAGGCUGAACUAAACUGCUUUUGCUGCAUUUCAAUAUAGCAGGGAAGGGUCCAGCCAGACUGAUGUGAGCUCUGCGGGGCCCUCUGCAGCAAACACUGCUGGCUGCUACGGACACAGCAGCAGAGAUACAGACUUUACACUGUUGUUCUGCUCUGGUGAGUAAAAACGCUCUGUGAGGAGAAAUAGUGAUGUUCUAUUCCGGUGAAACCAGCAUAUUCAAAACUGAACUAAGAACUGGAAAAAAAUAUUUUUGGAGAAAAUGCCUGUCAGAAUUUCCCUCAAAUGAGCGUACAGUGCGGUUUCUCCUCUCCCAAAAAUCUAAUUCUUGGGAAAAUGUACAAUUUAUUUAAAGCAGUAACACCAGUUUGGUGUCCCAGCAGUGAAAAGCAAAGAUACAGAUGUUGCUAACUAUGACCUAGGUAGAUUGACAUAAUGAUGUGAGCAGAAUUUAGCACUUACAGUCUGUGGGUAAAUGAAGGAUGCUGGUUUCCAAGGUGGCCAAGUGCUGAAUUCACUUUUAGAAAAAUAAAUUAAAAUCCCAUUGAAAAGCA